UCUCCUGGAAACGGGUGGUAAUGCCGGAUGCUCCAUCACACCGCAUGGUGUGUUGGGAAAGCCUUUGCGGCAUGGGAUGGGGUCGCGUCCUAUCAGCUUGAUGGCGGGGUAACGGCCCACCAUGGCUUCGACGGGUAGCCGGCCUGAGAGGGCGACCGGCCACAUUGGGACUGAGAUACGGCCCAGACUCCUACGGGAGGCAGCAGUGGGGAAUAUUGCACAAUGGGCGCAAGCCUGAUGCAGCGACGCCGCGUGAGGGAUGGAGGCCUUCGGGUUGUAAACCUCUUUUGUUAGGGAGCAAGGCAUUUUUUGUUGAGUGUACCUUUCGAAUAAGCACCGGCUAACUACGUGCCAGCAGCCGCGGUAAUACGUAGGGUGCAAGCGUUAUCCGGAAUUAUUGGGCGUAAAGGGCUCGUAGGCGGUUCGUCGCGUCCGGUGUGAAAGUCCAUCGCUUAACGGUGGAUCCGCGCCGGGUACGGGCGGGCUUGAGUGCGGUAGGGGAGACUGGAAUUCCCGGUGUAACGGUGGAAUGUGUAGAUAUCGAAAAAGAAACACCAAC
rnacentral:rRNA from 1 species